rnacentral:sRNA from 2 species
GUAAGGGGUGACUGCGGAGGGAUCAUUACCGAGUUUACAACUCCCAAACCCAAUGUGAACGUUACCAAACUGUUGCCUCGGCGGGGUCACGCCCCGGGUGCGUAAAAGCCCCGGAACCAGGCGCCCGCCGGAGGAACCAACCAAACUCUUUCUGUAGUCCCCUCGCGGACGUAUUUCUUACAGCUCUGAGCAAAAAUUCAAAAUGAAUCAAAACUUUCAACAACGGAUCUCUUGGUUCUGGCAUCGAUGAAGAACGCAGCGAAAUGCGAUAAGUAAUGUGAAUUGCAGAAUUCAGUGAAUCAUCGAAUCUUUGAACGCACAUUGCGCCCGCCAGUAUUCUGGCGGGCAUGCCUGUCCGAGCGUCAUUUCAACCCUCGAACCCCUCCGGGGGAUCGGCGUUGGGGAUCGGGACCCCUCACCGGGUGCCGGCCCUGAAAUACAGUGGCGGUCUCGCCGCAGCCUCUCCUGCGCAGUAGUUUGCACAACUCGCACCGGGAGCGCGGCGCGUCCACGUCCGUAAAACACCCAACUUCUGAAAUGUUGACCUCGGAUCAGGUAGGAAUACCCGCUGAACUUAAGCAUAUCAAUAAGCCGGAGGAAAA